GCGGACGUAGCUCAGUUGGUAGAGCGCUGGUUUGUGGUUCCAGUGGUCGCGGGUUCGAUCCCCGUCGUUCGCC
rnacentral:tRNA from 1 species